rnacentral:tRNA from 1 species
UCCUUGGCAGUCCAGUGACUAGGACUCGGCACUUUCACUGCCAGGGGCCUGGGUUCAAUUCCUGGUCAAGGAA